rnacentral:rRNA from 1 species
UACGUAGGUGGCAAGCGAUACUCGGAAUCACUAGGCGUAAAGCGCAGGUAGGCGGUUUGGUAAGUCUUUGUGAAAGCUCCCGGCUCAACUGGGAGAGGCCAAAGGAACUACUAGACUAGAGUGUGGUAGGGAUACUGGAAUUCCUGGUGUAGCGGUGAAAUGACGUAGAUAUCAGGAGGAAUACCUAUGGCGAAAGCAGGUAUCUGGGCCAUCACUGACGCUGAGCUGCGAAAGCUAGGGGAGCAAACAGG